rnacentral:tRNA from 1 species
AGGGGAUUGAAAAUCCCCG